rnacentral:rRNA from 1 species
ACGGGAGGCAGCAGUGGGGUAUAUUGGACAAUGGGGGAAACCCUGAUCCAGCGACGCCGCGUGAGUGAAGAAGUAUUUCGGUAUGUAAAGCUCUAUCAGCAGGGAAGAAAAUAACAGUACUUGACUAAGAAGCCCCGGCUAACUACGUGCCAGCAGCCGCGGUAAUACGUAGGGGGCAAGCGUUAUCCGGAUUUACUGGGUGUAAAGGGAGCGCAGACGGCAAUGCAAGUCUGGAGUGAAAUCCCGCGGCUCAACUGCGGAACUGCUCUGGAAACUGUAUAGCUAGAGUGUCGGAGAGGUGAGUGGAAUUCCCAGUGUAGCGGUGAAAUGCGUAGAUAUUGGGAGGAACACCGGUGGCGAAGGCGGCUCACUGGACGAUAACUGACGUUGAGGCUCGAAGGCGUGGGGAGCAAACAGGAUUAGAUACCCUGGUA